GUCGUAGAUCAGUGUUAGAGCAUCUGCUUUCCAUGCAGAAAGUCCAGAUUCAAUCUCUGACAUCUCCA